UACGUAGGGCGCAAGCGUUAUCCGGAAUUAUUGGGCGUAAAGAGCUCGUAGGCGGUUUGUCGCGUCUGCCGUGAAAGUCCGGGGCUCAACUCCGGAUCUGCGGUGGGUACGGCAGACUAGAGUGAUGUAGGGGAGACUGGAAUUCCUGGGUGUAGCGGUGAAAUGCGCAGGAUAUCAGGAGGAACACCGAUGGCGAAGGGCAGG
rnacentral:rRNA from 1 species